AUUGAACGCUGUCGGCAGGCCUAACACAUGCAAGUCGAGCGGAUGAAGGGAGCUUGCUCCUGGAUUCAGCGGCGGACGGGUGAGUAAUGCCUAGGAAUCUGCCUGGUAGUGGGGGAUAACGUCCGGAAACGGGCGCUAAUACCGCAUACGUCCUGAGGGAGAAAGUGGGGGAUCUUCGGACCUCACGCUAUCAGAUGAGCCUAGGUCGGAUUAGCUAGUUGGUGGGGUAAAGGCCUACCAAGGCGACGAUCCGUAACUGGUCUGAGAGGAUGAUCAGUCACACUGGAACUGAGACACGGUCCAGACUCCUACGGGAGGCAGCAGUGGGGAAUAUCGGACAAUGGGCGAAAGCCUGAUCCAGCCAUGCCGCGUGUGUGAAGAAGGUCUUCGGAUUGUAAAGCACUUUAAGUUGGGAGGAAGGGCAGUAAGUUAAUACCUUGCUGUUUUGACGUUACCAACAGAAUAAGCACCGGCUAACUUCGUG
rnacentral:rRNA from 1 species